GGGUUGGAACUGGCUGCUCGGGCCAGUGGUGGAGUCCCCAUCCCUGGAGGUAUUUGAGCCGUGUGGACGUGGCACUAAGGGACGUGGCUUGGUGAUGGGACUUGGCAGGGCAGGUCGGCGGUUGGACGUGGUGAUCCUGAAGGUGUCUCCCAACCUAGAUGGUUCUGGGGUUCUGUAAAUGCGGAGGGAGCUCUGCUCUCCACCUCCAAAGCAACCUCCUGCGCAAUGACCUGGAGCAUGUGUCUGCAAGCCCCCAGUCCGUGGGACACGCUCGUGGUGGCCUCGGGGACCUCCGGAGCUUCAGGCAUGAGGCCACGUCCCCCUGCCAGCGCGGGUCCU